rnacentral:rRNA from 1 species
GUGGGGAAUCUUAGACAAUGGGGGCAACCCUGAUCUAGCCAUACCGCGUGAGUGAUGAAGGCCUUAGGGUUGUAAAGCUCUUUCAGUGGGGAAGAUAAUGACGGUACCCACAGAAGAAGCCCCGGCUAACUCCGUGCCAGCAGCCGCGGUAAUACGGAGGGGGCUAGCGUUGUUCGGAAUUACUGGGCGUAAAGCGCACGUAGGCGGAUCGGAAAGUUGGGGGUGAAAUCCCAGGGCUCAACCCUGGAACUGCCUACAAAACUAUCGGUCUGGAGUCCGAGAGAGCUGAGUGGAAUUCCGAGUGUAGAGGUGAAAUUCGUAGAUAUUCGGAGGAACACCAGUGGCGAAGGCGGCUCACUGGCUCGGUACCGACGCUGAGGUGCGAAAGCGUGGGGAGCAAACAGGAUUAGAAACCCUGGUAGUCC